CUCGCCGUGUUUCCCUAGCAACGGUCUCUGGAGCAGAUGGCCGCCUAGUGAUUUGUCGGACUGUGUCGGGUCUGGGCCUCUUGUUCCCAACUCAUAAGGCUUUGCAGCCCUGUUGACCCGAUGUUUCAUGGAACAAUCACAAAAGAACUAACCAGUCAUGAAGAAUGGAGUCACUAUAAUGACAACAUGAUAGAAGAUCAGAAAGAUUUUGUUUUUGUGAAGUUCAGUGGCCUUCAUUUAAAAUCUAUGGAAAAUUUGCAAUCCUGUAUCUCUCUGAGAGUAUGCAUCUUCUCAAACAAUUUUAUCACAGAUAUUCAUCCACUUCAAAGUUGUAUAAGAUUAGUCAAACUUGAUCUCCAUGGAAAUCAGUGAGCCUUAAAAAAGGAUAUAGACAUGUUCUUGUCAACAGUAUAUGGCCUCUCAAAGCACUGGAUCAUCAUGUGAUUUCUGAUGAAGAAAUAAUUCAGAACUGGCAUCUUCCUGAAAGAUUUAGAGCAUAUAACCACCGACUUUUCUUUAAUUUCUGCCCUGCUUUGA